GGCCCGUUGGUCAAGCGGUUAAGACACUGCCCUUUCACGGCGGUAACACGGGUUCGAGUCCCGUACGGGUCA
rnacentral:tRNA from 1 species